rnacentral:lncRNA from 1 species
UAUUUGAGUUUUAAAUAACCGUGAUGUCUAUUCCUUGAUGUAAUUGUUUCGGUAGCAACCCCACGAAUCGUAACCUCGAAAAGGGCAAAGGUAAAGAAUACGGACACCACCCCGUUCUCGGCGUUUAGGGUUAGGGUUACGCCGAAAACGGGUGGCAUGCGUAUUCUUUACCUCCGCCCCCGAAACCUACCCGCAAUUAUUAUUAUUUUUUAAGUUAACCCUUUGUCUUUCCCGUGUUUCACGUAUGAUGAACAGGACGUGUUUCCCUGGCAUCCAUUCAUAUACGAUAUACAUUCUCAAUUUGUGUCAACCACCGGAAAAACUUGGGGCUUAUGAAAGGAGAGCUUCAUAGAACCCAGAACGUAAGAGACAAGAGCUAACUAAAUGUCUGUAAACAAAUAUGGGCAUUUGUUAUGACAAAUGUUCUGACGAGUUGUCAAAAUUGUCUAAGACAGAUCGCAAAUUUCAUUUUAGAAUCUGAAAUGGCUAAAGGACAUCUUGGAAUUAGACAGAAAUGGGAUGAAACAUUCCAGAAAAUUAAAAAGUAUGUUUAAAUCUAGAUAUCAAAAUUUCGGCCAUCAUCUCAGAAACUGUAGGAACAAGAAUAUGCUAGCAGUGACGGCAAACCGAAUCUACCUUCUACUACAGCGUGAGCCAGCAAGCGGUCGUCUACGUGGUUGUGCGAUCAAGCUAGAAAUAGCAGCCAAAUUUCCCUCAAAUUACUCCUAUCGUCUUCAGAGCUUAUGUUCCAGUGUAGUUCUAGGUAUACAAGUAGGCGGAAUGGUCAUGACUGGAAGGCCUUUAUUUCAUAAAUCUGCUCGUUCAGACAGACAGACAGACAAACAGACAGAAA